GCCUGGAGUAAAGGUCAGCCGCUCGAGAAGUUUCCUUCAAUGUUUAAACCCGCUUCUGUCGCUCCCCUGCUCCAGAGUGGGAGGGGUGGCAGCACAGGCCAGACCCCGACGGCAGCACAGACAAACUCCAGCCCUGACUGAACACAUCGCAGGACUUGUUAACAAUCGGGCUCCCUCCACAAAAUUUCUCGCAACAAAAGCAGGCGCACACUUUCGGAAUACAUCCGUGUUCCUAAGCGUUUCGCCCCCUUGCUUCCCGCACCGGAAUCAGAGCCGCUCGCAAGUUGAGUGACGUCGCUGGGAAGGGGAGGGAGGGAGGCAGCCUGUGCGCCAGCUUUAAAAUCUCGGCAGGCAUUCGUUUAAAGGGAAACCACCGGGGGUACUGCAAUAUCAGCCAGCACCGCGUGUUUAAUGAAUAAUGGAUCGGUAUUCCCAGAUCUCUCUAUUCUACCACACGCCUCAGUGCCCUACCAGGAACCAAAUCCAAAGCAACUGCCAUUGAAAUGGUUUAAGCUGGAAGAAGAAUGAAUGAAGCCUGGCAUCAGAUUUGGCAGAAUGGAACCAAGUUAACCUUUCUCAUUGACUUACGGAUUAUGUACCGACGUUGAUGGAACAGUCAUAUAUAUUAACCACACAAAGAACAAGGUCAUGUUUGCAGAAUCAUGCUACACCUAAAAUUCUUAUUUCCUCAUUCGCAUUUGCCAACUAUGUUCUAUCUCUCUCUCAGCAGGAGGACACAGCAGGGGCGGUGACAGAUAGCAUACAAUUGGGAGGAAGUACUCCUGGGAAUCCUUCAUGUUGCCUUCAGACUUCAAGAAAUCAUAUAGCAUCAUAUUAAA